rnacentral:rRNA from 1 species
AGUGAACGCUGGCGGUAGGCCUAACACAUGCAAGUCGAACGGCAGCACAGUAAGAGCUUGCUCUUACGGUUGGCGAGUGGCGGACGGGUGAGGAAUACAUCGGAAUCUACUUUUUCGUGGGGGAUAACGUAGGGAAACUUACGCUAAUACCGCAUACGACCUACGGGUGAAAGCAGGGGAUCUUCGGACCUUGCGCGAUUGAAUGAGCCGAUGUCGGAUUAGCUAGUUGGCGGGGUAAAGGCCCACCAAGGCGACGAUCCGUAGCUGGUCUGAGAGGAUGAUCAGCCACGCUGGAACUGAGACACGGUCCAGACUCCUACGGGAGGCAGCAGUGGGGAAUAUUGGACAAAGGGCGCAAGCCUGAUCCAGCCAUACCGCGUGGGUGAAGAAGGCCUUCGGGUUGUAAAGCCCUUUUGUUGGGAAAGAAAAGCAGCAGGUUAAUACCCCGCUGUUCUGACGGUACCCAAAGAAUAAGCACCGGCUAACUUCGUG